rnacentral:rRNA from 1 species
GAUGAACGCUAGCGGCAGGCUUAACACAUGCAAGUCGAGGGGUGGGAGAAGCUUGCUUUUCUGAGACCGGCGCACGGGUGCGUAACGCGUAUGCAAUCUACCUUUCACAGAGGGAUAGCCCAGAGAAAUUUGGAUUAAUACCUCAUAGUAAUACGCCUUGGCAUCAAGAUGUAUUUAAAGAUUUAUCGGUGAAAGAUGAGCAUGCGUCCCAUUAGCUAGUUGGUAUGGUAACGGCAUACCAAGGCAACGAUGGGUAGGGGUCCUGAGAGGGAGAUCCCCCACACUGGUACUGAGACACGGACCAGACUCCUACGGGAGGCAGCAGUGAGGAAUAUUGGACAAUGGGCGCAAGCCUGAUCCAGCCAUGCCGCGUGCAGGAUGACGGUCCUAUGGAUUGUAAACUGCUUUUAUGCGGGAAGAAACACCUCUACGUGUAGAGACUUGACGGUACUGUAAGAAUAAGGAUCGGCUAACUCCGUGCCAGCAGCCGCGGUAAUACGGAGGAUCCAAGCGUUAUCCGGAAUCAUUGGGUUUAAAGGGUCCGUAGGCGGUCAGAUAAGUCAGUGGUGAAAGCCCAUCGCUCAACGGUGGAACGGCCAUUGAUACUGUCUGACUUGAAUUAUUAGGAAGUAACUAGAAUAUGUAGUGUAGCGGUGAAAUGCUUAGAGAUUACAUGGAAUACCAAUUGCGAAGGCAGGUUACUACUAAUAUAUUGACGCUGAUGGACGAAAGCGUGGGUAGCGAACAGGAUUAGAUACCCUGGUAGUCCACGCCGUAAACGAUGGAUACUAGCUGUUGGGAGCAAUCUCAGUGGCUAAGCGAAAGUGAUAAGUAUCCCACCUGGGGAGUACGAACGCAAGUUUGAAACUCAAAGGAAUUGACGGGGGCCCGCACAAGCGGUGGAGCAUGUGGUUUAAUUCGAUGAUACGCGAGGAACCUUACCAAGGCUUAAAUGUAGUUUGACCGGUU